CUGGAGCAAUGUAGUCUUUGGCAAAC
rnacentral:piRNA from 1 species